AUUGUCCCUUGAGUCGUUACAGUAUGGCUCUGUGUCAUUUCUGUGUCUUAAGGUGGCAUAGAACAAAGGGCUAUAUUUACGCCUAGUACCUGCCUCAGGGCCAUGGCACUCAGCCGGAGAAU